rnacentral:rRNA from 1 species
UACGGGGGAGCAAGCGUUGUUCGGAUUUACUGGCGUAAAGGGGCUCGAGUAGGCGGCCAACUAAGUUCAAACGUGAAAAUCCCUCGGCUUAACCGGGGGAACUGCGCUUGAUACUGGAUGGCUUGAGAUUGGGAGAGGGAUGCGGAAUUCCGAGGUGUAGGCGGUGAAAAUGCGUAGAUAUCAGGAGGAACACCGGUGGCGAAGGCGGGUCUCUGGGCCGAUACUGACGCUGAGGAGCGAAAGCGUGGGGAGCGAACAGG